AUCCAGUUGACGAGUCUCAAAUAGGACGAAACGUCUGUCUUCGAU
rnacentral:hammerhead_ribozyme from 1 species